rnacentral:pre_miRNA from 11 species
UAGUUACUGUGAUGUUGGCUCGGUUCACUCAGACAAAAAGAAAAAAAAAAAGAAAAAGRAAAAACAAACACAYAUAUGCAUGCAUUUUUCUCUUUUAGCUUUGAUUGAGCCGUGCCAAUAUCUCAGUGCCUUUU